ensembl:snRNA U6 U6 spliceosomal RNA
GUACUUGCUUUCACAGCACAUGUACGACAACUGGAAUGAUACAAAAAUGAUUUAGAGUGGCCCUUCCUCAAGGAUUACAAAUAAUUUUUGAAGCAUUCCAUAUUUUU